CCAGGCUCCAGAGAUAGGACGGUUAAAGGAGAACUGAUGCUGAAGGCCUGUCGACGUGCCUGGCCUCUUGAAAGAGCAGCGAAAACAUGCAAUGCUGGCUGACAUCUCUCUCUGCCUUCUCUUGCUAACCCCUCACCCCUUUGCAGAACGUUCCCCAAUAAGUCUCUGUGUGCACAUCUCAAGAGUCUUGCAAUCCACGCCUCCCCAUUGGUAGGAGAGCUGAUUGAAGGAAGUUCUGAAGGUCUGGAAUACAGUCACUGCUGUCCUAGGACUAUUCACAACAGCCCCGUGUUAUGGAACCAGUCUAAGUGAAUCAAUAAAGAAAAUGUCCUAUGGUUACUCAAUGGGCUUGGGAGAUGUCUCCGUGGUUAAGGCACUUCCAGGUGAAGGGUAAGUGACUGAAUUCAGAUCUCCAGAACCCACAUGAGCCAACUGGCAUGGCAGCCACCCGGAACCCCGAACUGAGAAGGCAGAGAUUGAGACCUCCAGAAUAAGCCAGGUAUCUAGACUAGCCAGAGUUAGCAAGCUUCAGUUCAGCGAGAGACCCCGCCCAAUAAAUAAAGUGGAGAGGAGUUGAAGAAGAUUUCUUACAUCAACUUUGGGUCUCCACAUACAGGUAA
rnacentral:lncRNA from 1 species